AGAAUGAGUUAAGAAGGUUCAAGGAAAGUUAAUCGAGUUAGUAAGAAUAUCGUUAUAUAUACAUGGUUUCCUUAAGUAUCCCAAGGCGACACGGUUACCUAAAGGGUGUGGAAUCGCGCUAUGAGUAUGUAUAUGAAGUAAUGCGAGUGACCUUUUAAAGUAUUUGAGAUUAUUAGUAAUGAUAUAGAGGGUGGACAAAAGAUAUGAAUAUACUUUUGCGAUUGGAGUUUCGUCAAAGCUUUGUGAGUUCUCUAGUUAUGUUUAAGGUUAUUGUGAGUCUCUGGACCCUUCAAGAUGUGUAUAUGGAUUUUUUUAUUGAUGUAUAUAAGUGUGUAUAUGUAUGCAUAAGAGGUUACAUAAGGUUGGAAGAGGAUUAGAAGUUAAACGAAAUGAAUCGGAACAACUUCAGUAAAAUUUCGGACCCGAUUUUAGUCUAUAUUGUAGGAGGCAUAUCUCCUUGAAUAUGAGGAGUUUUAAGGUGUUUCAAAAUCCUAAAAUGAAGUUCAUCGAGUCUAGUUUGUAAUGCAACAAACCGCUCGUCAAAAUGAUAUCGGGAUAAGGAGAUAUGGACGAUGCAAGUUGGGCUGGCAGGGCAGCAAGUUUGGACCCGACCUAAACACUCACAUUUCGGCCCAUGAGGCCCAUUAAACUCAAUAGAUAAGUCACCACUUUGCCCUAUAUCAUUUCACACGACCUAAAACAGAUCCAAAACCCUUAUUUUCUCUCCCAAACCCCCUUUCUAAUUGAGCCAUCAUAUAAGCUAAAUCCUAGACCCUUGACAUGAUAUUAGUUAAAGAGAAGUUGUAGCUUAAGUUUUUUUUUGUGUUGUUAAGCAAGCAGCUGGAAAGAGGAACAAGAUUCUUGAAGAUUCUGAUUGCUAAAGGUAAUUUCAACCUCCCACUCAUGUUAUCAAUUUGGAUUAAAGGUUUAAUAUGGUGUAUACGUGAAGGAAACGUUGAUAUACAAGCUAGAGAGAGAGAGAGCAUAAGCCAUGGCAUUCGGCCAUGGCUAGCAAAAUUGGAGCUCAAAUUUGUUGAUCCAAAAAUCAGAUUUUCUAGGUAUUUCAGCCCUUAGGAAGGUGAUAAUAACGUGGAGAAUUCAUUUGGAGCAACAAGAACAAGUAUUAGUGCAUUUCACAAAUUCUAACUAAGUGGAAAAAGCCAACUUGUUAAGACCUUGGGGAGCCCGAGGCGUAGAUUGGAAUUUACUUUAGAUUGGCUAUCUUGGAGUGCGUACGAGGUAUGUAAAGCGCAACCCUUCUUUCUUUUGGCAUGCCUUAGUUUUCAAUAGGCUAUAUCACGAGCCUCGAGGAAAUUCCAAAUUCGAAAUCCGAGCACGUUAUGAUCCUUAUAUAUAUUUCUUGGCAUUCUUAUGUAUGUUGUGAUGAAGUAUGAACAAUUAUGUCUUCGAAAGCAUUGAUUUCCAAACUUUGUACAAAAAGUUGUUUUAAAGAAUUCCGUAACUACGAAAUGCCAUAUCUUUUGCAUAAAGGCUCGGAUUGCUCCAAUAUUUUCAUAAGAGUUUGCAUGAUGUAUAAUGAGUAUGUUUUCCAUGAGCGGGCCCGAUUCGGGUCGAUACCCGUUCGUGGGUCCCGCGACUUUUCUUUAUGUAAUUCGGACGACUUUUGAAAGAAUUUGGUAUGAUUAUCAUUUCGAAUUUCAAAUAUGAUCAUUUUACUUAUGUUUGAAUUUAUGAUAAUGAUUUUAUGCAUAUGACUACUCUAUUAACUACUAAACAAAAAUUGUUUUAAAUAGUUCAUUAAGUCUUAUAAAUUGUUUUGGCCCUCGGAACGACUUCAGAAAGGUAUGCUUCUGUAAUUCAUUAUGACAUCCGAAACUCACUUAUUAUGAUCCCGUCUGACUUCAUUGAAUUGGUUUGCCAUUGAUAUGCCUCAUCGAGUCUCUGAAAAUAUUUAUGAUAUUUUAACUGCAUUUAGUUUCUCACUACUCUAUUCGUGGAUGCCCCAAUGUUUCCCACACUGAGCCCGGGCCAGGAUAUGUUGUCAAGCGUAAUCCUCUGCAUUGUUCGCCGUGCCUCGAUGUGAGGGGGCAGGUAUACGUGUACAUGGGUUUGUGGAGUAUGCUGUGUCAUGUACACAUGUUCUGAUAUGAUUUGCCAUGGCCAUCUGAUAUGAUAUACUAUGUUACGGGGUUAUGCCCCUAUUCUGAUUCUUCUGUGUUGUGGCACCAGCGUCGGGAGGGUGGCCACGUUCUGUUUGCCGAGUCCCUUGGCAGGGGCCGGAUUUGAUAUGACAUAUGUUUCUGUACACACUCCGCAUGUUUUGAAGAUAUGUAUUUGAUACUUUGGAUUUUCUACUCACUUUUUCUGUACGUUCUGUACCAGUUAUGAUUUUGGUUCUGUAAUUCAGGCUUUACAUAUUCAGUACAUAUUUCGUACUGACCCCCUUUCUUCGGGGGCUGCGUUUUCAUGCCGCGCAGGUACCGACGACAGGUUUGCUGAUCCGUCCGUCUAGGAUAUCUUUUCUGCCAUUUGGAGCGCUCUUUUAUUCAGAGCCCAUCUUUUGGUACAGUCUGUCACUACUGUAUAUAUAUAUAUAUAUUCUCGUUCAUGGGUACGGCGGGGCCCUGUCCCGUUAUAUGAUUCCGUCGGUCUGUUUAGAGGUCUGUAGACAUGUUUGUGGGUUAGGGUCUUUCUGUACGGAUGCGUGUAUAUGUUGUGUUUGGGCGAUCUCAUUCGCCGCGGCGGCCGGUCCGCAUAUGUUUAAAUGUUGCUUUGUUGGCCCUGGGUGGUCAUUGUUGGUAUUAUCUGUGCGCAGGGUUAAUUUGGAUAGUCUGUAAAACAAAGGAAACUCUGCCGAAAUUUUUCUGGAAAUUAUCUAAAUAUUGAAAUAUAGCCUUGUCGGCUUCUGCUAUAUACUUGAAUGCGUUUGAUAAUAUUCGUUCUCAACUCUGUUUAAAAAUGAUGAUUUAGUUUGUAUGUCCGUUUGGGUGCCCAAGUAGGGCACCAGUCGCGGCCCACGGGGCUGGGUCGUGACAGAAGUGGUAUCAGAGCAGUUCGUCCUCGGAAUGUCUACAGACCGUGUCUAGUAGAGUCUUGUUUAUCGGUGUGUUGUGCACCACAUCUAUAAACAUGAGGCUACAGGACAUUUAGGGUGUUGCCUUUUUUUCAUAUCUAAGAUCGUGCGAUAGAGCCCAGUCAUAGGAAAUGAAAUUCUUUAUACUAACAUUUGAUUUCAACUGAAGAACGACAUCGACAGAAGAAAGUGAUUGAUGAUAUUGAAAGUUUCAAAGUACGCAGGUAAGCAAAGGUACGAAAGGUAUAAGUCGAGUAAGGUAUGGAAGUGCGAUUGAAAUGUAAAGUUGAAAAUUGAAAGAGAAAGAAUAACAGGUGCAGUUUGAGUUGGGCAUACGAGGUAUGUUCAUCACUUUUAUACUGUUGUUAAUAUUGGGAGCCCUGUGUGGCUAUGAUAUGAUAUGAUGUGUAUAUACGUAUAAAUGUUGUCCCUGUGAGGCAUUGUUGGUAUUUCCUGCGUGGAGGUUUUGGGAUAGUAAGAAGUACAGAGAAAACUCUGCCCAAAUUUUCCCAGAAAUAGAAAAAGAGAAUGAGACAUAGGUUUGUAAUAUGUUUUGAAAGGUUGUGUCAAUAGUAAGGAUAUGAUUUGACUAAUUUGCCAAUAUGGCUGACCUCGAGAAAUAAGUUGACUGCCGAAUCGAUGGUAAUAGUAAUUGGGAAGUCGAUAUCGAUAUGGUAAAAAGAAUAAUUUGGAAAGGGUUUAUGAUACUAAGAGAUGAUUUAGAAAAAGGCUGGAUAAUCUUGAUAAAGUGUUAUAGUAAGGUACCGACUGAAUUGAUAAGCAAGGAAAAAAAAUUAUGACGAGUUUAUAGUAAAAGAAGUAGUAGUAUGAUUAAGAUGAGAGUACAGAGGAAAAUGAAUUGUGACGGAUGCGAAUGUAUUGGUAAAACAGGCUGUGAGGUUGUGAAGGAUAAGAUUGACUAGGAACGGUGAAAGGUUAAGUAUGCUUAUACAACACUAAUGUAACAUUCGAGGACGAAUGUUCCUAAGGGGGGAAGAAUGUUACACUCCAUAAUAAUCUGUGCUACUUGUAUUAAAACAAGAAAGAAUGAGUUAAGAAGGUUCAAGGAAAGUUAAUCGAGUUAGUAAGAAUAUCGUUAUAUAUACAUGGUUUCCUUAAGUAUCCCAAGGCGACACGGUUACCUAAAGGGUGUGGAAUCGCGCUAUGAGUAUGUAUAUGAAGUAAUGCGAGUGACCUUUUAAAGUAUUUGAGAUUAUUAGUAAUGAUAUAGAGGGUGGACAAAAGAUAUGAAUAUACUUUUGCGAUUGGAGUUUCGUCAAAGCUUUGUGAGUUCUCUAGUUAUGUUUAAGGUUAUUGUGAGUCUCUGGACCCUUCAAGAUGUGUAUAUGGAUUUUUUUAUUGAUGUAUAUAAGUGUGUAUAUGUAUGCAUAAGAGGUUACAUAAGGUUGGAAGAGGAUUAGAAGUUAAACGAAAUGAAUCGGAACAACUUCAGUAAAAUUUCGGACCCGAUUUUAGUCUAUAUUGUAGGAGGCAUAUCUCCUUGAAUAUGAGGAGUUUUAAGGUGUUUCAAAAUCCUAAAAUGAAGUUCAUCGAGUCUAGUUUGUAAUGCAACAAACCGCUCGUCAAAAUGAUAUCGGGAUAAGGAGAUAUGGACGAUGCAAGUUGGGCUGGCAGGGCAGCAAGUUUGGACCCGACCUAAACACUCACAUUUCGGCCCAUGAGGCCCAUUAAACUCAAUAGAUAAGUCACCACUUUGCCCUAUAUCAUUUCACACGACCUAAAACAGAUCCAAAACCCUUAUUUUCUCUCCCAAACCCCCUUUCUAAUUGAGCCAUCAUAUAAGCUAAAUCCUAGACCCUUGACAUGAUAUUAGUUAAAGAGAAGUUGUAGCUUAAGUUUUUUUUUGUGUUGUUAAGCAAGCAGCUGGAAAGAGGAACAAGAUUCUUGAAGAUUCUGAUUGCUAAAGGUAAUUUCAACCUCCCACUCAUGUUAUCAAUUUGGAUUAAAGGUUUAAUAUGGUGUAUACGUGAAGGAAACGUUGAUAUACAAGCUAGAGAGAGAGAGAGCAUAAGCCAUGGCAUUCGGCCAUGGCUAGCAAAAUUGGAGCUCAAAUUUGUUGAUCCAAAAAUCAGAUUUUCUAGGUAUUUCAGCCCUUAGGAAGGUGAUAAUAACGUGGAGAAUUCAUUUGGAGCAACAAGAACAAGUAUUAGUGCAUUUCACAAAUUCUAACUAAGUGGAAAAAGCCAACUUGUUAAGACCUUGGGGAGCCCGAGGCGUAGAUUGGAAUUUACUUUAGAUUGGCUAUCUUGGAGUGCGUACGAGGUAUGUAAAGCGCAACCCUUCUUUCUUUUGGCAUGCCUUAGUUUUCAAUAGGCUAUAUCACGAGCCUCGAGGAAAUUCCAAAUUCGAAAUCCGAGCACGUUAUGAUCCUUAUAUAUAUUUCUUGGCAUUCUUAUGUAUGUUGUGAUGAAGUAUGAACAAUUAUGUCUUCGAAAGCAUUGAUUUCCAAACUUUGUACAAAAAGUUGUUUUAAAGAAUUCCGUAACUACGAAAUGCCAUAUCUUUUGCAUAAAGGCUCGGAUUGCUCCAAUAUUUUCAUAAGAGUUUGCAUGAUGUAUAAUGAGUAUGUUUUCCAUGAGCGGGCCCGAUUCGGGUCGAUACCCGUUCGUGGGUCCCGCGACUUUUCUUUAUGUAAUUCGGACGACUUUUGAAAGAAUUUGGUAUGAUUAUCAUUUCGAAUUUCAAAUAUGAUCAUUUUACUUAUGUUUGAAUUUAUGAUAAUGAUUUUAUGCAUAUGACUACUCUAUUAACUACUAAACAAAAAUUGUUUUAAAUAGUUCAUUAAGUCUUAUAAAUUGUUUUGGCCCUCGGAACGACUUCAGAAAGGUAUGCUUCUGUAAUUCAUUAUGACAUCCGAAACUCACUUAUUAUGAUCCCGUCUGACUUCAUUGAAUUGGUUUGCCAUUGAUAUGCCUCAUCGAGUCUCUGAAAAUAUUUAUGAUAUUUUAACUGCAUUUAGUUUCUCACUACUCUAUUCGUGGAUGCCCCAAUGUUUCCCACACUGAGCCCGGGCCAGGAUAUGUUGUCAAGCGUAAUCCUCUGCAUUGUUCGCCGUGCCUCGAUGUGAGGGGGCAGGUAUACGUGUACAUGGGUUUGUGGAGUAUGCUGUGUCAUGUACACAUGUUCUGAUAUGAUUUGCCAUGGCCAUCUGAUAUGAUAUACUAUGUUACGGGGUUAUGCCCCUAUUCUGAUUCUUCUGUGUUGUGGCACCAGCGUCGGGAGGGUGGCCACGUUCUGUUUGCCGAGUCCCUUGGCAGGGGCCGGAUUUGAUAUGACAUAUGUUUCUGUACACACUCCGCAUGUUUUGAAGAUAUGUAUUUGAUACUUUGGAUUUUCUACUCACUUUUUCUGUACGUUCUGUACCAGUUAUGAUUUUGGUUCUGUAAUUCAGGCUUUACAUAUUCAGUACAUAUUUCGUACUGACCCCCUUUCUUCGGGGGCUGC